rnacentral:rRNA from 1 species
UACGUAGGGGGCGAGCGUUGUCCGGAGUUACUGGGCGUAAAGGGCACGCAGGCGGUUGUGUCCGUUUGCGGGGACAGUGGGUGGCUUAACUGCCCAAGGGUCGCAAAGACGGCACGACUGGAGAGCGAGAGAGGGACCUGGAACUCCGGGUGGAGCGGUGAAAUGCGUAGAGAUCCGGAGGAACACCAGAGGCGAAGGCGGCCUGCUGGGCUGCACCUGACGCUGAGCCGCGAAAGCCAGGGGAGCGAACGGG